GUACUUGCUUUGGCAGCUCAUUUGCUAAAAUUGGAAUGAUACAGGGAAAAUGAGCAUGGCCCCUGUGCAGGGAUCACGUGCAAAAGGCUAGGUUGGAACCUGGACAGA
rnacentral:snRNA from 1 species